rnacentral:rRNA from 1 species
UACGUAGGGACCGAGCGUUGUCCGGAAUCAUUGGGCGUAAAGAGCGUGUAGGCGGCUAUUUAAGUCCUGCGUGAAAUCCUGCGGCUCAACCGCAGACGGUCGUGGGAAACUGGAUGGCUAGAGUGCGGGAGAGGAGAGUGGAAUUCCCGGUGUAGCGGUGAAAUGCGCAGAUAUCGGGAAGAACACCCGUGGCGAAAGCGGCGCACUGGACCAUAACUGACGCUGAGGCGCGAAAGCGUGGGUAGCAAACAGG